rnacentral:lncRNA from 1 species
UCAUUUCUUUCUUUUUUUUUUUUUUUUGUACCAGGGAUUGAACUCGGGUCCUUGUGCUUGCGAAGCAGGCAGUGAAACCACUGAGCUAAAUCCCUGGCCCCGAAAAGCUCAUUUCUUACAAUUCUGCUGCAUGUGGGUGGGCCUUUUGGCUGGUGGGGACUCUAAAGAGUCCCAAGGCAAUGCAAGGCAUCACAUGGCAAGGGAGACCCUAACUCCCCCUAGCUCAGGUCUCUUAUCUUCUUAUACAACCAGUCAUGUCACACUGGGGCUCCACCCCUAUGGCUUCGUUUAACCUUAAUUACUUCCCAAAGUUCUGCCUCCAAAUGCCAUAGUUAGGUUAAAUUUCUAUCCUCUUGACUAGCUCACAGUGGGGAUUAAAAUUGAGCAUGAGUUUUGGUAGGGACAUUGAAACCACAGUAAGGACUGGGGCCCCCUCUCUGAAGGGACAGCAGCUGCCUCUAGGGCCCCUUGCUCAGGGGCCACUGUAUCUGUCCAGUGAGGGCCAAGGGGGAACCAUCUUUGCAGGACUGUGAAGGGGACAGUGCCUAGUUUUGCAGGUGGCUGAUGGGCUGACCCACGCCUGUGUUCAGGGCACAGGGAGCCCUCCAGUGAGAGGGCUGACAGGUGAGUCCACGGGUGGCUUCUGGCUGUCCUUUUGAGGCAAACUCAGCACCCCAGCUUCUCAAUUACCCUGGUGUUGAUUUCAGCCUCUGUCCUUGGUGCUGCCCCUCUUCCUGCCUCUCUCACUUAGGUCCACGGUCCCCUUUCUGCUCCUCCUCUGUCCUUCACCCCGAGGCACUCCUGUGAUGGAACUGGGUCUCAUUUCCUACUCUGUCCCACCCUUGAAGACCACCACAAAGAAUAAUCUGGGAGAGUUUUGAGUCAGCCUCAGGCUGGAAGUGAGGGUUUCCUUGUCUGUACAAUGGGUUAGUAGUGCCUCCUACUUGGGAAUCUGUGAGAAUUAGCUGAGAUAAUCUGUGUGCAGUGUCCGCAGCCUGUCCCGAAUGUCGCUAGUAAAUAAUGCUGGUUCUUGUGAAUAACCCAUCUUGGCAGUUUAGAGGACACAGGGGAGAGGGGGUGUCUUCUCAGUAAAGGAGCUGGUGUUUAUUCCCCCUCCUGCCCACACCACUAGCUAACACUCGAACACCUUAUAUGUGCUGAGCAUGGGAGGGAGCCAGCCUCUAUACUGUUACGCCAAGUUGCACAGUAAAGAAGCAUGAGGCGGUCCUCACAGCUAAGCAGUGGGUGCACAUGGGAUGUGGGGGACCAGACCUCCCCAGCAGUGUCUGUAUUAGGCUGAUGUAGAAUUGAUCAAUGACUCACGCUUACUUAGAAGGGUGUCUUCACACUGUGCAUUUGCUGCAAAGAGACACAGCCUACUCAUAUAGAACAUUCUAUCCAGGACCAGCCCUUGCCCAGGCCCACUGUGGGCACACUGUGGGAUCUAGCAAGUCGGUUGCACUUCAAGAAGGAAGAGAGGGAAAUUCAUGUGCUCUCCUUCCUGGGCCUCAGUAGUGGGGGUGGGGGCUCCAGCGCAUGAGGGUUCCCAGCCCCACUCUGUGGAGCACCUCUUCCUCAGUGUUUGUCAACAGGGAAGCGAGCUAUGGCCAUGGGGGCCAAUGGGUGACCCAGGGAUUGCCAUUUCUUGUUUGGAGUGGGAUCCAGACACCUUGUGGCGGUGAAUGGUGUGCAACUCAAGGCAACCGCAGAGCUCUCUCAUCAACGGCGAACUCUCACAGUGGUUACCUCUGUCGUGUGUUUGUAGGUGAGUGGGGGUGCAGGGAAUGCAUCAUCAUCACAUUUUAUUCUUAUUUUUGCACAUAUAAUUUAAAAUUGUGUAAGAAGCAAGGUUUAUUGAUUGUACUGUUAAAAAAGAGCUUAAAAUUGCACCUUGAAUCAAAAUUGCCUCUGAAUUAUAUGCCACAGGGAAAGAUCAGGUUGAAAAACAAAGAGUCUAGCCCCACCUAGCUGCUCUCUUGGUGUGUGACCAGGCAAGUUACAUCUCCAUUCUGGGCCUUAGUUUUCCCAUCUGUAAAAUGGGAGGGUUGGGCCAUCUGUGCUAAUCAAGGGCACAUGAGGAUCUGUUGCUCUGUCUGGGCUGCAGUAAGGAAUGGGGAAGGAAGAGAGGGAGAAAGAGCAGCAUCAGUACCUCUGUAAUGCAGGUAGGGCUGCUGGUGGCAGAGGGACAGGUGUAUGUCCCUCUAUCCUGGGAACUCUCUGGUGAAGUCAUGAGGUGGUGCCUGUCACAUUGCUGAUGCCCAAAGAGCUCCAGGAUGCUAGGCCUGGUGAGUGGAGAGGCAGGCAUGGGAGUUGGCACACUGACCUUCCCAUAUCCCGUGCUUGCACUCAGAGAAGCGGUGACACCGGCCAGCCCUAGUUAACACUCUGGCUCGUCAUCCCUUUGAGCCCCUCUGUGUUCCGAGCCCCUCUGUGUUCCCACCCCCUCUGCUCUGCUGUCUCUGAACUUCCUGCCCCUGCUUCCAUCCCCCACCCUUCUAGAUGUCCUCCCUCCUUAAACUCAGCUUUCCUUCUGACUAGAUUCAUGCCCAGCCCUUUAUUCUGGCUGGACCUACAAUUGGGGAGAAGGAGGCUCCCCGCUAGUUUCAGCCACAUGACACCCACCCUCCUGUUGGGCAGCAGCUGCCGCUCUGAGGUUCUGGGCGCCCCACCGCCGAAGACACAGCCCUGGUUAGUGGGUGAAUAGUUCUUUUGGAUGCAGCCUCUGUCCCUGGCACACACCUUCCCUGAACUCUGGGUCACUAUUGCUUAAGUCACAGCUGGAUGCCGGCUUCAGAGCACAUUGAUUUUUCCCAGGGCUUUAAUAAUGCUAAGCUUCGGUUUGCCCAUUGGCUCUUUUGUAAUGUGUCAGCCUCAUAAAAUGGUCACUUUCGGUUAAAAGAUCUUAUUACUGCAAAAAGAGAUGUUGAAUCACACUUUCAAGGUUGCUGGUGAAAUGUGAUCUGUGAGACUCGUUGGCUCUGUUCCAGGGCACGGAGAAAUGGAUAUUAAGAAGAUAAAUUAGAAGUCAAAACACAGUUCUAUUUUCCCCUGUGUCUUAGGCUGAGUGUCUGUGAUGAAUUUUGCAAGAAAAAAAAUGAGAACUCCCUCUCCUGAUGCUGAGCUCCCCUGCCACCUUCAGAAGUCAGACCCCAACCUGGAGAGCCAGUCAGCAGCCCUUCAUUUGAGCUGUGACAUGGCCAGAAUGAACAUCCUACCAGAUGCGUGUUGUACACCAGAUACUGUUGUCAGCACUGUGGACAAAACAGAUGAGCAGUCCUGUCCUGAUGGAGCUGCUGCUUUAGCAAUGGGAAAGAAAAAUCAAAGAAAAACGACAUGAGCGAAACACGUAGCAUGUCAGAUGGCUGUAGGUGCUGUGAAGACAAAUAAGGUUACAGAGGCGCCGCUGAGGGAAGAAACAUUUUACCAGCUCUGAAGUUUCUGUCUGGGUGAAAGAGAAGGACUGGCCUGGCUUUCCCAUCUACUCCAGUCUCUUGAAGUCACACUGGCCCCUCUUACUGGCCAGUUUGUAUUUCAUUCCAGCACAGUGCAGGGGAAACAACGUGGAGUUUGGAAUCCAGCGGACUGGGUCUGAAUCUCACCAUGAACCCUGGCUAACCAUGUAGGUUCAUAGAUCACUGACCUGCUUAACUCCAUUUCCUCAAAUGUAGACUGGGCAUUAUGAUUCCUAACCCACGAGACAUUGGAGGAUGUACUGUAAGGUGUGAUUGAAAAAUAUGAUGCAUGAUUGAAUUUUUAAAAAAUUGAUCACAGUAGAAGACGUAUUGCCCCUUAAAAUACUCCCCUUCACUUCAAACACACUCAUCUCAUUGUUCUUGCCACUUUCUGAAGAGAAGUUCUGGAACUUCUCUUUCCUGAACGUCUUUAGUUGUGCUGUCAGGACUGCCUCAGUGUCCUGAAUCAAUUCAAAAUCUUUACCUUGCAUGGUCAUUUUGACUUUGGGGAAGAGCCAAAACUUGCAUGGUGCCAGAUGUGGUGAAUACGGUGGAUGAAGACACACUAGUGUCUUUUUUUUUUGUACCAGGGAUGGAACUCAGGACCUUGCGCUUACAAGGCAGGCGUGGUGCCACUGAGCCAAAUCCCUGGCCCCACACUAGUGUCUUUUUACAAGCUUGCUUUUCUGUUGGAUGGCAGUUGACAACAGCAUUUCCUGUAUUUUUGAUCACAUCUCCCACAGACCCUCACGAAAGAGGACUUCCAGAACUGCUUCUGAAAGAGGUGAGAAUGAUCAAAUAAGUGUGUUCAGAGCAAGAGGGAAUAUUUUGUGGGGGAUUAGUGGCAAUGUGUCUUCUACUGUGAUAAUUAUUUUAAAAUGUAAACAUUCAUGGUAUUUUUCAACCACCCCUGUAUAUAGUGCCUCUGAGAGAAUUCAAAUUAGAAGAUGGUACCCACUCCUCCAGACUCUUUGCUGUCACCUUCCAUCCUCAGACAUGAAUGGUGCCCUGAGGUGAUGUGGGACACACAUUAUCCUUUGCAUAAAUGAGAGCUGCUACUAUCAUAAUCAUUAUCAUCACCUUGAUGGCAAGUGGCCCCAUCGUGACCUUUGGUGGGUUGGGUGGACCAGUAUGAGCCUGAUUAAUUCAGAUUUCAUUAUAGGAGAGCAAUCAGAGCUGAGCAGCUAAUAUGUUGUUGUGGCAAGCGGUGCAGGUGUGCUGGGAGCCACGUCUUCUUAUUAGAGCCUCUUUGUCACCUGGUGUCAGAAGCUGAAGGUCAUCAAAAUGUGGGCCACCUCUAAAUCACUGUGCCGCCAACAUAACUCCUACCACCGAGCAGACUGUCUUCAGCCACUGGAGCCCAAAAUAGAACCUAAUGGAUUUAGGAAGCAAUCAAUGCUGUCAGUGCUUCUGAAGACAUUUGUGGGUUGUAGCCUAUAAAAUAUUAAUUCUUUCUAUUUGUCUUUAAGAAUAUAUUUUAUGUGUUAAUGCAUUAUUGAAAGAUGCUUUAAUGUUAAGUGACUUUUUAAGACCCAAGAUUCAAACAGCUAAGUUUAUUUUUCUUUAGGAUAUUAAUGUAAAAUAUAAAGACAAAAGCAGAUCCCACUGACCGUACCAGUAGCCAUGCAUUGACAAGCAGGAAAUCAAACUGUAAAAUUCAAGUUGUUUUAUUCAUGUUUUGAUGGGCAAAUAAAUAACUUAUGUAUAGCAUUUCCCAUCUAAUGAAAUGUUUUACUGUUGGAUUUAUUGGGCACAUUUAUGAAAUCACAACUGUGCAGCUCUGCUUUAUUUGGCCUUAAUGACAUGAAGGCCAGGGAGGACUGUGGAUCUUCAGUGUCCAGAGUGAAGUGUGGACGGAGGAGGUAUCGCAAAUCAAAGGGUAAUCGGGAAGACACACAGAAAAUCGUUGAAGACUGACUCAGAAUUCAUCUUCUACUCAAGGACCACUGUGUAUACAUUUGUCUCCUUCCAUGCAUGAACACUGUAUACUGGUACAAAAGUACACAGUAUAUUUCUUGUUUUAUUUCACAGAAAAUGAAGUUCUACAAGGCAUGAUUUACUGCACUUUUAGGGGCCACAAACCACUUAAAUUUCCUGUGACUGUGGUGCCACACUGAAGAAGCAUGUCCACAUGCACACGAAGUUCUUCCUGUGGUUUCUGAGGGUCCUUUCCUCCCUGUGUGAGACAGCUGGGCUCCGGUCUAGUCCGGUGGUCUUGCUUUUCAUCCAAGAUUCUGAGGUUUAAAGGAGUGAUGACCCUGCCAGUGUCACUCAGUUCCUGAUACCUCAUCCCAAUACCCCCUCUCUACACAGUAAGCAGGUGCCAGCAAGGUGGCCAGCAGUGUGGGCUCCUGAGCUCAAAUCCAGAUUUGCUACUCACUGGCCUUGAGCAACUUACUUAGCUUUGUGUGCCAAAAUGUCUUUGUGUAUUUCCUUCACUGUCUGCUUCUUUUUCCCCC